GAUGAAGAACGUAGCAAAAUGCGAUACUUGGUGUGAAUUGCAGAAUCCCGUGAACCAUCGAGUUUUUGAACGCAAGUUGCGCCCGAAGCCUUUUGGCCGAGGGCACGUCUGCCUGGGCGUCACACAUCGCGUCGCCCCCCACAACUCUCCGUAAAGGGAACUUGUGUUUUGGGGGCGGAUAUUGGUCUCCCGUGCUCAUGGCGUGGUUGGCCGAAAUAGGAGUCCCUCCGGUGGACGCACGAACUAGUGGUGGUCGUAAAACCCCUCGUCUUUUGUUUCGUGCCGUUAGUCGCGAGGGAAACUCUUUAAAAACCCAAAUGUGUCGUCUCUUGACGGCGCUUCGACCGCGACCCCAGGUCAGGCGGGACUACCCGCUGAGUUUAAGCAUAUCAAUAAGCGGAGGA
rnacentral:misc_RNA from 1 species